CCUACGGGAGGCAGCAGUGAGGAAUAUUGCACAAUGGGGGAAACCCUGAUGCAGCAACGCCGCGUGAAGGAAGACGGUCCUCGGAUUUUAAACCUUCGUUCUUAGUGAAGAAUAAUGACGGUAGCUAAGGAGCAAGCCACGGCUAACUACGUGCCAGCAGCCGCGGUAAUACGUAGGUGGCAAGCGUUGUCCGGAAUUACUGGGUGUAAAGGGAGCGCAGGCGGGUAGCCAAGUCAGCUGUGAAAACUACGGGCUUAACUUGUAGACUGCAGUUGAAACUGGUUUUCUUGAGUGAAGUUGAGGUUGGCGGAAUUCGGGGUGUAGCGGUGAAAUGCGUAGAUAUUCGGAAGAACACCGAUGGCGAAGGCGGCCAACUGGGCUUUAACUGACGCUGAGGCUCGAAAGUGUGGGGAGCAAACAGGAUUAGAUACCCCGGUAGUC
rnacentral:rRNA from 1 species